GAUCCUGGCUCAGGAUGAACGCUAGCUACAGGCUUAACACAUGCAAGUCGAGGGGCAGCAUGGUCUUAGCUUGCUAAGGCCGAUGGCGACCGGCGCACGGGUGAGUAACGCGUAUCCAACCUGCCUUACACUCUUGGACAGCCUUCUGAAAGGGAGAUUAAUACAAGAUGUUAUCAUGAGUAAGCUAUUUUCACAUGAAUUUAAAACGGGUUUUACCGGGUUAGUAAGAGUGGGGAUGUCCGUUCCUAA
rnacentral:rRNA from 1 species